rnacentral:rRNA from 1 species
AGUUCGAUCAUGGCUCAGAUUGAACGCUGGCGGGAUGCUUUACACAUGCAAGUCGAACGGCAGCACGGACUUCGGUCUGGUGGCGAGUGGCGAACGGGUGAGUAAUGUAUCGGAACGUGCCUAGUAGCGGGGAUAACUACGCGAAAGCGUAGCUAUUACCGCAUACACCCUUCGGGGGAAAGCGGGGGACCUUCGGGCCUCGCACUAUUAGAGCGGCCGAUAUCGGAUUAGCUAGUUGGUGGGGUAACGGCUCACCAAGGCGACGAUCCGUAGCUGGUUUGAGGACGACCAGCCACACUGGGACUGAGACACGGCCCAGACUCCUACGGGAGGCAGCAGUGGGGAAUUUUGGACAAUGGGGAAACCCUGAUCCAGCCAUCCCGCGUGUGCGAUGAAGGCCUUCGGGUUGUAAAGCACUUUUGGCAGGAAAGAAACGGCACGGGAUAAUACCCCGUGCAACUGACGAAACACCUGCAGAAUAAGCACCGGCUAACUACGUGCCAACAGCCGCGGUAAUACGUAGGGUACAAGCGUUAAUCGGAAUUGCUGGGCGUAAAGCGUGCGCAGGCGGUUCCGGAAAGAAAGAUGUGAAAUCCCAGAGCUUAACACGGAACUGCAUUUUUAACUACCGAGCUAGAGUGUGUCAGAGGGAGGUGGAAUUACGCGUGUAGCAGUGAAAUGCGUAGAUAUGCGGAGGAACACACCGAUGGCGAAGGCAGCCUCCUGGGAUAACACUGACGCUCAUGCACGAAAAGCGUGGGGGCAAACAGGAUUAGAUACCCUGGUAGUCCACGCCCUAAACGAUGUCAACUAGCUGUUGGGGCCUUCGGGCCUUGGUAGCGCAGCUAACGCGUGGUUGACGCCUGGGGAGUACGGUCGCAAGAUUAAAACUCAAAGGAAUUGACGGGGACCCGCACAAGCGGUGGAUGAUCAUCGGUUAAUUCGAUGCAACACGAAAAACCGCCCACCUACCCUUGACAUGUCUGGAAUCCCGAAAGAGAUUUGGGAGUGCUCGCAAGAGAACCGGAACACAGGUGCUGCAUGGCUGUCGUCCAGCUCGUGUCGUGAGAUGUUGGGUUAAGUCCCUGUGAAGGCGCAGCCCUUGUCGUGGAUUUGCUACGAAAGGGCACUCUAAUGAGACUGCCGGUGACAAACCGGGAAGGUGGGGAUGACGUCAAGUCCUCAUGGCCCUUAUGGGUAGGGCUUCACACGUCAUACAAUGGUCAAGUGAAGGAGUCGCCAAGCCCGCGAGGGGAGCCAAUCCCAGAAACCGAUCGUAGUCCGGAUCGCAGUCUGCAACUCGACUGCGUGAAGUCCGAAUCGCUAGUAAUCGCGGAUCAGCAUGUCGCGGUGAAUACGUUCCCGGGUCUUGUACACACCGCCCAUCACCAUGGGAGUGGGUUUUACCAGAAGUAGUUAGCCUAACCGUAAGAGGCGAUUACCACAAUCAGGAUUCACGACCACAAGGUGAAGUCGUAACCUAAGGUAG